AGAGUUUGAUCAUGGCUCAGGAUGAACGCUAGCGGCAGGCCUAAUACAUGCAAGUCGAACGGUCCGCAACGAGUGGCAAACGGGUGCGUAACGCGUAACAGACCUGCCCCAUACCGGGGGAUAGCCUGGCGAAACGGGGUAAACCCGCAUAGUCCCUUUCUGUUUCAUGACAGGCCGGGUAAACAUUUAUGGGUAUGGGAGGGGCUUGCGUCUGAUUAGUUAGUUGGCGGGGUAACGGCCCACCAAGACGUUGAUCAGUAGGGGUUCUGAGAGGAUUGGCCCCCACGUGGGUACUGAGAUACGGACCCAACUCCUACGGGAGGCAGCAGUAGGGAAUAUUGGGCAAUGGAGGCAACUCUGACCCAGCCAUGCCGCGUGCAGGAUGAAGGCGCUCAGCGUCGUAAACUGCUUUUAUCUGGGAAGAACUGUAGUCCUGCGGGGUUAUUUGACGGUACCAGAGGAAUAAGCACCGGCUAACUCCGUGCCAGCAGCCGCGGUAAUACGGAGGGUGCAAGCGUUGUCCGGAUUUAUUGGGUUUAAAGGGUGCGUAGGUGGGUAUUUAAGUCUGGUUUGAAAGCAGGUGGCUCAACCAUCUGAUGUGGCUGGAAACUGGAUAUCUUGAAUGGGUUGGCGGUACGGAAUGGGUCAUGUAGCGGUGAAAUGCAUAGAUAUGACCCGGAACACCGAUUGCGAAGCAGGGCUACUACGACUUGAUUGACACUGAGGCACGAGAGCAUGGGUAGCGAACAGGAUUAGAUACCCUGGUAGUCCAUGCCGUAAACGAUGAUUACUGGCUGUGUGUGUUCUAACAUGCGUGGCUGAGCGAAACUGUUAAGUAAUCCACCUGGGGAGUACGCUGGCAACAGUGAAACUCAAAGGAAUUGACGGGGGUCCGCACAAGCGGGAGCAUGUGGUUUUAUUCGAUGAUACGCGAGGAACCUUACC
rnacentral:rRNA from 1 species